rnacentral:rRNA from 1 species
UACAGAGGAGCCAAGCGUUGUCCGGAUUGACUGGGCGUAAAGCGCACGCAGGCGGUUGCGCGCGUGGGGUGUGAAAUCUGGCCGCUUAACGGCCAGGCGCCAUCCCAUACGGCGCGACUGGAGUGAUGCAGAGGUCGAUGGAAUUGCCGGUGUAAGUGGUGAAAUGCGUAGAGAUCGGGCAGGAACACCCAGGGGGAAACCAGUCGACUGGGCAUCU